rnacentral:rRNA from 1 species
CCCUUAGAUGUUCUGGGCCGCACGCGUGCUACACUGAGUGGAUCAGCGGGUCAGGUUGCGCGAAAGUGUUUCCUAAUCUUGAAAUCCGCUCGUGAUGGGGAUUGACGGUUGCAAUUUUCCGUCAUGAACGAGGAAUACCUUGUAAGCGCGGGUCAUCAUCCCGCGCUGAAUACGUCCCUGCCCUUUGUACACACCGCCCGUCGCUCCUACCGAUUGAGUGGUCCGGUGAGGCUUUGGGAUCUGAGCGGAAAGAGCGUUUCGCUGUUUCUGCCCGGAAAACCCAGUCGAACCUUAUCAUUUAGAGGAAGGAGAAGUCGUAACA